rnacentral:rRNA from 1 species
UACGGGGGGGGCAAGCGUUGUUCGGAAUUACUGGGCGUAAAGCGCGUGUAGGCGGCCAUCUAAGUCGGGCGUGAAAUCCCACGGCUCAACCGUGGAAGUGCACUCGAAACUGGAUGGCUAGAGUCCUGGAGAGGAAGGUGGAAUGCUUGGUGUAGAGGUGAAAUUCGUAGAUAUCAAGCGGAACACCGGUGGCGAAGGCGGCUCUCGUGGGACGGUACUGACGCUGAGACGCGAAAGCGUGGGGAGCGAACAGG